rnacentral:rRNA from 1 species
UACGAAGGGUGCAAGCGUUACUCGGAAUUACUGGGCGUAAAGCGUGCGUAGGUGGUUUUUUAAGUCCGUUGUGAAAGCCCUGGGCUCAACCUGGGAAUGGCAGUGGAUACUGGAAGCUAGAGUGCGGUAGAGGGUAGUGGAAUUCCCGGUGUAGCAGUGAAAUGCGUAGAGAUCGGGAGGAACACCAGUGGCGAAGGCGGCUACCUGGACCAGCACUGACACUG